AUAGUGGACUUCCAGUACAUGAAGAGGCACACGGGAAAGUUGGGGAGGGAUUUUUAAAAGGACAUGUACUGACAGGAUGAGGGAAAAUGGCUUUGAAGUCAUAGAGAGUAGGUUUAGACUAGGUAUGAAGAAGAAAAUCUUUACUGUAGGGGUGGUGAGAAACUGGAAGAAGUUACCAGGAGGUGUGGAUGACCCCACCCUGAAAGCGUCCUAGGCCAGACUGGAUGGGGCUGUGAGCAAUCUGGUCUGGUGGGUUGUGGCCCUACUUCAGCAGAGGAGUUGGAUUCAGAGGAUCUUGAAGGUCCCUUCCAACCCAAACCAUUCUAGGAUUCUCGGAAAAUUGGGUAAAGGCAUGUGGUAAGAUCUUUGAGUUGGAUAUAUGGUUGCAACUCCAGAUGUUCCCUUUGAAAGUUAUUGCUAAUGUAUGUAUAUGAACAGAAAAUGAAGAUGUAGGCAUAAAUUCAUGAUUUUUAUUUCAAUCUUGAAUCCUAUUUCCAAAUUCCAUUUUCAGAAGUGAAAGCAUAAUUGCGUACUCUUUGUUGCUCAGAGCUGUGUGUUACGCAAGAGCAGUAAAAUGCAUGCAGUUUCUUCCUCUCUUUUUCCAUAUUCCUGUUUGCUCCGUUUUCCUACUGACACAUCUAUUCAUUUACAUGUACUGCCACCCCACAGAGGAUAAGGGAAGGUUGGAAAGGAGACGAUUUGGCAGACACUAUCCAGAGUACUCAAAUAUUGUGUUAUGUUGCAAAUAUAAACUGAAUUAUUGUGAUCCAGGAUGACACUGUCCGUUGAACUGAUAUGAAAAGCAACCUGGAGUGCCAUUCCUGUAAUAAAAUGGAUGGCACAGUUCU
rnacentral:lncRNA from 7 species